UUUAUGGUCAUAAGACACAGAAGCUGUAACAGAAGAAAAAACACAAGAACCAAAAAACAGCAGCAGAAACAUAAACACGCUGCCCUUUGACAUGUUCACCAUUGACAAUUUGACCCCACUCCCUCCUCAAAAGCAAUCGUCUUUUCCCUUUCUAUACCUGACUUGAAUGCUUUGUAUACAGAUGAAUAUAAAGAAUGAGAAUUAGAGAUUUGGGUUUUUCUAUACAGUUUUUUUUUUUUAUUCUUUUG
rnacentral:misc_RNA from 1 species